rnacentral:rRNA from 1 species
CCUACGGGUGGCUGCAGUGGGGAAUAUUGGGCAAUGGGCGCAAGCCUGAACCAGCAACGCCGCGUGAAGGACGAAGGUCCUAGGGAUGUACACUUUCUUUAUUCGGGACGAAACAAAUGACGGUACCGCCUGAAUAAGCCACGGCUAACUACGUGCCAGCAGCCGCGGUAAUCCGGAGGUGGCAAGCGUUAUCCGGAUUUACUGGGUGUCAAGGGCGUGUAGGCGGGAGAGCAAGUCAGACGUGAAAUUCCAGGGCGUAACCCUGGAACUGCGUUUGAAACUGUUCUUCUUGAGUGAUGGAGAGGCAGGCGGAAUUCGGAGUGUAGCGGUGAAAUGCGUAGAUAUACGGAGGAACACCAGUGGCGAAGGCGGCCUGCUGGACAUUAACUGACGCUGAGGCACGAAAGCGUGGGGAGCAAACAGGAUUAGAUACCCGAGUAGUC